CUACCACUAUUACCAGUGUCA
rnacentral:snRNA from 1 species